ACAGCUUUCCCCCCUGCAGAAAUUCAACCUCAUCUUUUUAUCUUUGACCAAGCUUGCACUUAUCCAAGAAACAAAUAUCUCUCUCUCACGUCGCUUUCCUUUUCCCUCUCCCUUAUCUCUUUCUUUCUUUUUCUCUACGGAGCAAGCCCUGCAGCAGUCUUCGCACAUGCUUCUUCCCUGUUGACCGCUCACGCCAACACACCCCACGCCGGUCAAAACCCCCUUGACAAAGCCCUCAAUUGAAGAUGCCAGCAACUGAUUUCCUUCUGCUUCACCGAUCCACGCGUCUUCACCAUCUCCUGCAGCUUCACUCACCGAAGCAUCCACCAGAGUCAAUCAACAGAGCCGGUUUGUUGACUCCUUCGCUGGCUCUCUUCCAUUCGGCCCACAACCCACCGAAGCAUCGCCCUUGCACCUUCAGCUUACGAAGCCAGCUUCUGCCGAGUCUACUCCAGCGAACUUCUUCCAGGACGUUGACUUCCGUGGCUUCUUGGACGUGCGCCCCUCCGUCAGCAACGCCAGCUGCCAUCCCCUCGUGCAGCUCGACUCCACCGAAUUCCCUCAGCCAACCAUCCGCGUGAGUUCCCCAACCGAAGCUGCUGCCUGGACCAUGUCUUCAGUUCCACCGAAACCCAGCAGCUCAUGUCAUCUUCUCACCCGUGAGCUCAGCAACUCUCCAGCGAAACCAUCUCUACCGAGGCAAGUUUCGAAGCCCAUCUUCAAUCAGCAACCCACAGUUUGGCCAUAAGCCCAGCCCGUGAGCAAGAAGCCCACGCAGCAGUCCAGCAAUUUCAGCCCAUUCUCAGUCCAUUGAAGUUGCUUUUUGGCCCACUUGAUUUAGCCCAUAAUUCAGUGAAAUCCAGCAAAUUCUUUUGAGGCCCAAGCCCGCAAAUUCCGGCCCACCGAAUCAGUGGACUCAGCCCAGCUCGAGCAGCGAGCUUGUAGGCCGAUUUCGGCCCCAGUUUGACCCCGGUCGGCGGACUCGCUUUGGAGAGAAUCAAGCCUUGUCGCGUGCUCGUCGAUUUGAUCCGAUCAAAUCUUUAAUCAAGUCCUUGGAUGCAACGGACUUGGAUUUUGAAGAUCUCGAAAGUCCAGUGCAGUCUGCUGAAGGCUCCAGUUGAAGUGUAGAGGAUGAUGGAGAGGAGGACAGGGACCCGUAGUUUGUAGAACCCCACUCUUGUUUGUAGACCUUAUUUUUACACUGGCUUAAGUUGAAUUUGACUUAA